rnacentral:rRNA from 1 species
AGUGAACGCUGGCGGUAGACCUAACACAUGCAAGUCGAACGGCAGCACAGUAAGAGCUUGCUCUUACGGGUGGCGAGUGGCGGACGGGUGAGGAAUACAUCGGAAUCUACUUUUUCGUGGGGGAUAACGUAGGGAAACUUACGCUAAUACCGCAUACGACCUACGGGUGGAAGCAGGGGAUCUUCGGACCUUGCGCGAUUGAAUGAGCCGAUGUCGGAUUAGCUAGUUGGCGGGGUAAAGGCCCACCAAGGCGACGAUCCGUAGCUGGUCUGAGAGGAUGAUCAGCCACACUGGAACUGAGACACGGUCCAGACUCCUACGGGAGGCAGCAGUGGGGAAUAUUGGACAAUGGGCGCAAGCCUGAUCCAGCCAUACCGCGUGGGUGAAGAAGGCCUUCGGGUUGUAAAGCCCUUUUGUUGGGAAAGAAAAGCAGCAGGUUAAUACCCCGCUGUUCUGACGGUACCCAAAGAAUAAGCACCGGCUAACUUCGU